UCUGAGGUAGCAACUGCAUUCCUCGGGUCCCUCUGGUUGACUGGAUAAACGCGGCCCGUACCCUGACUUUGCUGAUGGGGUGUCGGAAGCAUUUGUUGUCGCCAGUCUCGCUGAGCGUUAUGGCGUAGAACUGUCCCUUGUUGAGAGACAAAACACAGCAGAUGGCAAAAGAGAUGAGGCCAGACCAAAGGUCACUGCUAACACAAGGUGUCCUGACUGGAAAAGCACAGAAUGGGCAUUGCCAGGAAAGGAAAACCAGCAAUAUUAGAAGAUUUCAUGGAGUCUGUGAACUUUGCUCAGACCCUUGGAGCCAAAGAGAACCUUUUACUGGAGAAAUUAAAAGAAAGUAAUGGGGUGAGAGAGGACCACCAUGAUUCAAGACAAAAUGAUAGGUAUAAAUGUGGUACAUAGAUGGAGUCAAGGAUAUAGGCCUGCCCUGGUUAUGAAGGAAGGACCUGAAAGUCUACAGUAGCCACUAGCCAAACGUGCUGACAUUGAUUAGAAUUAAAUAAAGUUAAACAUUCAGUUCCUCAGUCAACCAGGCACCUUUCAAAUACAACACUGACACAUGGAAGUAGUGGCUACCAUCUGGGACAACAUAAACAAUUUCCAUCAUUGCAGAAAGUUCUAUUAGACAGGAUGAAUUUAUGAAAAGGUAUUUAUACUUAGUUAAGAAUUAGGGAAAUUUGGAGAAUGAGGAUAGCAUGAUGAAAAAGAUAUUUAAGGAAGUAUUUUAGAGAUAGAGGGGAUGCAUUUCCAAAAUCUUUGAAGGAAUAUGUAAUAACCUGCAACAACACAGGGUGAACCAGAAUUAAUAAACAUGGCCUUGAAUAAAUUUAUUGUCCAUGCCAUAGAGCUCUGCAGCCUGAGGAUAGGCUACCCUACUAAAACAUAUUGGACUAAUAACGUCUAUGAUUCUAAUCCCCCAGGUGAUAUGAAAAGGUGUGAUAUACUACAACUGUUCAGACUCAAAGAGAUUUGUCUAUAUGCUGACUGAAAUAAUCACUCCAAUAACUAUUAGUGCAUGUGAACAAGAACUAUGAAAAAAAUAAUCGAUAUGUUUUAGACACAGAAUUACUAUCCUCAAGUUUAAAUUUUUUCCCUAAUUCUGUUACAUUAUCUUUCAAACUUAAAAAAAUUAAAUGUAGAGUCCACUUGGAAUCUAUCACCAUCCUUCAUGAGACAUGCUCACACUAAUGGGUCACAUGGCCCUAAAUGAUUUAGUAUGAAGAAUUAGAACCGAAAUGCUGGGCCAUUCUGGCUACAGUUACCAAGUUUUCAAAACUGUUUGGAAAUCUUUCGAUAUAAUUUGUAGGAUGCCUAAAGGCAAGCAGACAGCCAACAUCGCCAUUGAUUUAGCACAUCUAUAUAUUUCUUAAUUAUUUAGGCCAAACUACUCCCUUCCUGAUACCACUAUACACACACACACACACACACACACACACACACACACACACGAGUCAGUCUCUACUAGUGAAUGAAACCUGCUCAUUCAACAAGGGUCUUAGACAUUUUAAUAAUAUUCCUAAAAGAAUACUAGAUUUUAGACAAAUUUUCCUUAGUGAAAUUUACUUGGUGAGGUUACUGAGCUCAUCUACCUAAUCUAUAGCCUGUUGGCAAUGCCACAGCUAAAGAUCAUAAUAGAGCAUUCUAUUUAAUUCACAUCAGAUUAAAAUACAAUAUGUAAGGUAAACACCGAUUUCCAAGACCAGGAGAGCAGCUAAAAUAUUCCAAAUACAGUGGGAAUAAUCUUCAUAUAUAGUUUCUGGUAAGUUACUUUCUCAUGCACCUAAAAAUAAAACCCCAAAUACAAUAGCUUCCUUUCACCAGCCUCUUUAUCUACAACACAAACACAACUGAUAACACAUCCCCCAAAUAGCAUGAUGGUUCGUUGACAUUGGACAACAUCCACGGACUCUUCUGUGACUAAUGGAAUAUUUCUACACCAUGUAAGAAAAACAUCAGGGCAACCCUUUAGUGAAAAAGCAUGUACCUUACAUUCCCAUGUGGAGUGAUUUUAAAACAAACAAGCAAGCGGAGAUCACUGUUUCUGUAAAUUCUAUGGGCACAGGAGAAGAAUAGGUACAAAGUACAUAUACACACACUUGAUUAUUGAAAAUACAAAUUCUUUCUUGAAUAUUCAAUCAGACAAGGUCGAAGAAAGUUAUAUUGUUUUUUAAAAGAAUAGGCAGACAACUUUAGCUACCCUUUGGGAAGGUUACAAACUAGAAGAGGUCAAGGUAAAAACUUUAAAAAAUAGGAAGUUUCCACACAAAAAUCUCUUCAUUCCUUAUAAAUAUUUAAUUUUUAAGAUCAAAACUAAAACAAAGGAAUCUGUCAGCUAAGCGUCAAAAAAAA